AAGCAAUAGGGUCUCAACACGAAGUCGUAGUGCUGGAAACGCGGCGGUCGCAUACGCUUCACAUCCUCGCUUGCAUCCGCCGCCCGUUUCACAGCCUCGAAGCUGCCACUGGCAAAGUCAACCACGCCAGCGGUGGGGCGAGCAACCAGGCCAAUUGCACCCUUACCCAGGCCCUUGAAGAAGCCCUCGACCCCGUUAUCGCGAGCCCCAGUCACUGGUUUGGUUACAACGCCAGUGACACCGUCCACAAAGCCCUGAUAAAAUUAUAGAGUCAUAUGGAUUUCAAACUGAUGAACCACAUAGAUGAGGUCUUACCAUCACUAGACCCUUGCUGCUGCGGGCCAAUCCUUCGUGGAAGUUCUUCGGUUUGUUUUGAAUACCCUGUCGUCGUUUCUUUUGAUAGUCCUCGUCGAAGGUCAGCGCAGCCAAACCCUUUCCCAUAGCACCAGUUAUUCUAAUGGUUGAAAAUUGAAGUUGGUAUUAGAGGGCCGACUGUACUUUGAUUAAAGGGCAGCUUACUUCGAAACCGCUCCCGCAGCACCACCCACAGUGUGGCCGAAAAGAGACUUUACGCCCAGGACCAAACCCUCGGCGAAUUCUCCAGGACCUUGGAUGGCACCCUUUAAAAUGAUAAAUCAAACAGAACAAGUCUUCGACGCCCUUCUUAAGACCAACCACUAGGCCAUAGGGAUUGCCCAGGACAUCAAGUCCGAGGACGAGCACAUACAGCUGCUUUAACGCUUGGCCAGUGUAGUGUGAGGUGAUCUCGUUGAUUAGCUGCUUUUGGGAGAAGAAUUGAUACUCGCGCUCGAAGAAGGCCAGACGGAAAACAACAUCGUUUACGUCCGUUAGAGUCACACCCACGCCCUGGACCAAUGAGCCCAAGAAACCGGGCAACGCCUUUGUGUCCGACCCGGCCAUCGAGAAGCUGACAUGGAUCUUGAGCGGACCCAAAUGCAGGUUAUCGUAAAAGCUCUUCUGCUCCUCCAACGAGUGCUCUUCAAAGAACGCUGAAAGCGGGAGCUCAAUUGAUUCAACAUCCUGACGGAACUGCUUAGCUGCUGCCUCGUCCGAGACCUCCUUGGCAAACAUUUCGGCGAUGGCAGUAAGGAAGUUCAAAUCGACUUUGAAGAGGAACUCUUGGAUCAGUAUCCUGGCGUACUUGAACUGACGCACAGUUGAGUUCGGCAUGAUGCGCUGCACCAUGCUG
ensembl:ncRNA asRNA:CR45130 antisense RNA:CR45130